UGUGUAUGGGAACACCGCUAUAGCGCAGAAGUGGCUGCAAAUUUUCAUCUCAAAGCUCGCAAGCGGUUGUCGCAUACUUUCUCCAAAGCUAGAAAGUUAAACCAGAAGCCUGACUGGUUGCUUCAGAAUUUAUGGGAGGAUUUGCAAAGGCAAUGGCUUACCGCAAAGUUCUUAGAGAAGAGCGAAAAAGGAAAGAAAGUUUGUGCAUCUAAGAAGGGAUGAUCCUUGCACACUGGAGGUGCGAUCAGCCUAGGGACAAUAAAAAGAAGAAUGAAAAGAAGUUGGGGCGUCCGAUGGACCAAGAUGAGCUAUUCAAGGAGACUCAUAUUGUAAAGGAAGAAGAAAGAGACGGACCAAGAAAGGUGGAUCGAGGGCCGAGCCUCGACUAUACAUGAUCGCUUCACAGUUGAAGUGGAGGAAUUCAUACGCAGUCAGCCACUUAAUGAGUCGGGCGAGCCAAUCCAACCUUCGGACGAGGAUGCUAAAAGAAUGUAGACGGAGGCUGCAGGCGGUCCAAAAUGGGGGAAGGUAUACAGGCUUCCUACUAAGAAAUUCCAUCGCUAUAAGUGUGGAAUGC